UACGUAGGGGGCAAGCGUUGUCCGGAUUUACUGGGCGUAAAGAGCGCGUAGGUGGAAGCGCCAGUCCGGCCUGAAAGCCCCCGGCUCAACCGGGGAGAGUGGCUGGAAACUGCGUUUCUUGAGGGCGAGAGAGGAGGGUGGAAUUCCUGGUGUAGCGGUGAAAUGCGUAGAGAUCAGGAGGAACACCCGGGGCGAAGGCGGCCCUCUGGCUCGACCCUGACGCUGAGGCGCGAAAGCGUGGGGAGCGAACGGG
rnacentral:rRNA from 1 species